CCUACGGGAGGCAGCAGUGAGGAAUAUUGGUCAAUGGGCGCGAGCCUGAACCAGCCAAGUCGCGUGAAGGAUGACUGUCCUACGGGUUGUAAACUUCUUUUAUAAAGGAGUAAAGUGACGCUCGCGUGCCUUCUAGUAUGUACUUUAUGAAUAAGGAUCGGCUAACUCCGUGGCAACAGCCGCGGUAAUACGGAGGGUGCUAGCGUUAUCCGGAUUUAUUGGGUUUAAAGGGAGCGUCGAUGGGUUGUUAAGUCAGGUGUGAAAGUGUGGGGCUCAACCGUAAGAUUGCAAUUGAUACUGGCAGUCUUGAGUGCAGUAGAGGUAGGCGGAAUUCGUGGUGUAGCGGUGAAAUGCUUAGAUAUCACGAAGAACUCCGAUUGCGAAGGCAGCUUACUAGGCUGCAACUGACAUUGAGGCUCGAAAGUGUGGGUAUCAAACAGGAUUAGAUACCCUUGUAGUC
rnacentral:rRNA from 1 species